rnacentral:lncRNA from 1 species
GAGGAGAAGCCCGCGGCGCAGUCUAUGGCCUCCUAGGGGGAAGGGCCUUGAGGUCCCUGUCCUUCUCCUAACAGGCGGCGACGCAGCCAUGGCCUUGCUGUCGUGGGAGUCCCAGACAGGGUAGGAAGGAGGGCCAUAGAAAGGAGGAGGGCCGAGUGAACAUGGAGUUUUGAAGGGGGAAACCAUUUGUGGUAUUUGAGUCCCGGAGGCAUAUGAAACCGCCCACAGAAGACACAUUCCAAAGUCUUCAGUGGGAACCUGGGAGAGGGCAGAGGACUGCGCGGCGCUGGAUGGGGUAGAGCGAGGAGGGUCGAGGAGGGGCGCCACAGCCCACAGAGCAGGCACCGACCUCACUGCGCAUGUGCCCUGGGCGUCUUCCCGUCGGCCCCUUUGCCCACGUGGUGAACGCGGCGGAGCUGUGAGGGUGUGAGGGUCGCGCUCCUGCUGUCUGGACUUUUUCUGUCCUACUGAGACACGGCCGACAUGAGAUGAUGAACCUCAAGUACCACCCCAGACAACAAGGCUGCUUCAUCAGGACACAAACCUGCCUGUACCAGGACCUCUGACCUGUGUGCAGCAGAAGGAGUGGGUCAACAUAGCUUCUGAAGAGCAUUCAUUGGAGUGAAUCUGCCAUUUAUUGGCUGUUCUUCAAACCAUAAGACUGAUAUUGAUGGUCAGCUUACAGAGGUAUGCUCUCUACAGAUUGCUGAUUUACUUCUCAUGGCUAGCCGGGUGCCUGAAAAUUCCGCUGGAAGAACUCAAGAUUUUCCUUUUAUUCCAUGCUUUGAGGCAGAGAGGUAACUGGCAGGUG